rnacentral:ncRNA from 2 species
GAUACCCGCUGAACUUAAGCAUAUC